ACUGUUUACCAAAAACAUAGGUUUCUGCUAAGUCGCAAGACGAUGUAUAGGAGCUGACGCCUGCCCGGUGCUGGAAGGUUAAGGGGAUCUGUUAGAGCAAUCGAAGCAGUGAACUUAAGCCCCAGUAAACGGCGGCCGUAACUAUAACGGUCCUAAGGUAGCGAAAUUCCUUGUCGGGUAAGUUCCGACCCGCACGAAAGGCGUAACGAUUUGGGCACUGUCUCAACAACAGACUCGGUGAAAUUGUAAUUCCGGUGAAGAUGCCGGAUACCUGCGACAGGACGGAAAGACCCCAUGGAGCUUUACUGUAGCUUGACAUUGGGUCUUGGUACUACAUGUACAGGAUAGGUGGGAGGCUUUGAAACCAGGACGCCAGUUUUGGCGGAGCCAUCCUUGGGAUACCACCCUUGUAGUACUGGGACUCUAACCAUAGGCCAUGAAUCUGGUCUUGGGACACUGUCAGGUGGGCAGUUUGACUGGGGCGGUCGCCUCCCAAAAGGUAACGGAGGCGCUCAAAGGUUCUCUCAGUACGGUCGGAAAUCGUACGUAGAGUGUAAAGGCAAAAGAGAGCUUGAUUGCAAGACAUACAGGUCGAGCAAGGAUGAAAAUCGGACUUAGUGAUCCGGUGGUUCUGCGUGGAAGGGCCAUCGCUCAACGGAUAAAAGCUACCCUGGGGAUAACAGGCUUAUCUCCCCCAAGAGUCCACAUCGACGGGGAGGUUUGGCACCUCGAUGUCGGCUCAUCACAUCCUGGGGCUGUAGUAGGUCCCAAGGGUUGGGCUGUUCGCCCAUUAAAGUGGUACGCGAGCUGGGUUCAGAACGUCGUGAGACAGUUCGGUCCCUAUCCGUCGCAGGCGUAGGAAAUUUGAGAAGACCUGUCCUUAGUACGAGAGGACCGG
rnacentral:rRNA from 1 species